GUGGCCUCUGACCUUCUGGGUAGGGGAUCGAGACUUGCAGCAGCUGGCUGUGUGCCAUCUCUGCCCAGAGCAUGGGAUCCCUGCACCAAGUGAGGAGCUGUGAGAUAGAUGCAGAGGCUGUUCUCAGACUGGUUAGGAAAAACACACGCUCUGUGGAGGAAAAUGCUACUUGUUCUGCUUUGUGGAAAUGAGAGAUGAAUGGUAAAUCUGAAGAAAUGGCUUGAAAAACCACAUUGGGUGUCAUCGGGAUAAGUGCUUAGUACAGUGCUCUGCACACAGUAAGCGCUCAAUAAAUAUUAAUGAAUGAAUGAA